rnacentral:tRNA from 1 species
GGGCCCGUGGGGUAGCUUGGUCCAUCCUAUGGCGUUCGGGACGCUGUAACUCCAGUUCAAAUCUGGGCGGGCCCA